rnacentral:rRNA from 1 species
AUGAAAGCUUUAUUCUGGAACGUUCGUGGUUUCGGUGCUAGGGGGCGCCGGGACCAGAUUCAUGACUUGGUUUGUGGUGAACAUAUUGAUAUCUUAGGGUUGGUCGAAACGUUUAAGGAAUCUUUCUCCCCUUCUGACCUCUCUGCGAUAGCUGGGAUGGAUAGGUUUGACUGGAACUCUCUCCCUGCUUCGGGCCAUUCUGGGGGUAUCUUGAUCGGGUCCAAACGGGACGUUUUUGAUUUCAUUGCUUUUGAUCAUGGUAUAUUUUGGGCUAGUUGUGUGGUUCAUCAUCGUCAACUGAACACUUUGUGGGAAUUUAUGGUGGUAUACGGCCCUGCGGAUCACUCGCUUGCUCCCCUUUUUCUGGAUGAACUUUCGAUUAAGAUUGAAGCUUGUAAUAUUCCUCUUCUAAUUGGGGGUGAUUUCAAUUUGUUA